AAGUCGGCAAGUCAGAUCCGUAACUUCAGGAUAAGGAUUGGGCAGGGUCGGUCGGGCAGGGGGCGAAGUGGGGGUGCGCAGCGGGGUUCGAGCCACGGCUGGGGGAGCAGUCGCUGCAUCGCCAUCCUCUCGCCUGGCUCGAGGGCUCUCAUGCGGGGGUUCGGUGUCCGCCGGUGGGCCAGUGGGAGGUUGGGUCCGGCGGUUGGUGGCGGUGACUCUGGAAGUGUGCCGGGCCCUUUUCACUGAUCUCCCUAGCUACGGUGCUCGCCAGCACCAUUCACGUAGGGUCUCCGGCCAGUGCCUAUCAGCCGACUUAAAACUGGUGCGGACCAGGGGAAUCCGACUUUUUAAUUAAAACAAAGCAUCACGAAGGCCCGAGGUGGAUGUUGACACAAUGUAAUUUCUGCCCAGUGUCAAAGUGAAGAAAUUCAAUGAAGCGCGGGUAAACGGCAGGAGUAACUAUGUCUCUCUUAAGGAUACCUUAGCUCAGGAUGAUAGUAAAACAGGCAAUA
rnacentral:ncRNA from 1 species